rnacentral:rRNA from 1 species
AGAGUUUGAUCCUGGCUCAGGAUGAACGCUGGCGGCGUGCUUAACACAUGCAAGUCGAGCGAAGCGCUCACGCGGAAUUUUCGGAAGGAAGCGGGAGUGACUUAGCGGCGGACGGGUGAGUAACGCGUGGGUAACCUGCCCCAUACCGGGGGAUAACGGUUAGAAAUGACCGCUAAUACCGCUUAAGCGCGCGAGGCCGCAUGGCCACGCGCGAAAAACUCCGGUGGUAUGGGAUGGGCCCGCGUCUGAUUAGCUAGUUGGCGGGGUAAAGGCCCACCAAGGCGACGAUCAGUAGCCGACCUGAGAGGGUGGCCGGCCACAUUGGGACUGAGACACGGCCCAAACUCCUACGGGAGGCAGCAGUGGGGAAUAUUGCGCAAUGGGGGAAACCCUGACGCAGCAACGCCGCGUGAGUGAAGACGUAUCUCGGUAUGUAAAGCUCUAUCAGCGGGGAAGAAGGAAGACGGUACCCGACUAAGAAGCCCCGGCUAACUACGUG